rnacentral:lncRNA from 1 species
UCCUGUGCUCAACUGCUUCCUUUACAAUCACACCAUCAUCUCCAGUUCUUUCUGGGUCAGUGCACGGGAAUCCAGAACUCCAGUGCCAUUUCAGUGUGCUCGAUGAAAUGCAGGUGAAAUGCAAGCAGAGUUAUGCGCUCAUUUAGUUCAAGCAUGGGCAUGGCAUUUGGCAUCUCCACCAUGCAGUUAGUUUCGACGACAGCUAACAAACUGGCACUAGUUAGCAAUGAGAGCUGGGGACGGGUUGAUGGAUU